GACGAACGCUGGCGGCGUGCUUAACACAUGCAAGUCGAGCGGUAAGGCCCUUUCGGGGGUACACGAGCGGCGAACGGGUGAGUAACACGUGGGUGACCUGCCCUCAGCUCUGGGAUAAGCCUGGGAAACUGGGUCUAAUACUGGAUAUGACUCCACGGUGCAUGUCGUGGGGUGGAAAGCCUUGUGCGGCUGAGGAUGGGCCCGCGGCCUAUCAGCUUGUUGGUGGGGNGAUGGCCUACCAAGGCGACGACGGGUAGCCGGCCUGAGAGGGCGACCGGCCACACUGGGACUGAGACACGGCCCAGACUCCUACGGGAGGCAGUAGUGGGGAAUCUUGCGCAAUGGGCGAAAGCCUGACGCAGCGACGCCGCGUGAGGGAUGACGGCCU
rnacentral:rRNA from 1 species